rnacentral:tRNA from 2 species
GCUCCCUUCGUCUAGCGGUUAGGACGCCGGCCUCUCACGCCGGUAACAGGGGUUCGAUUCCCCUAGGGAGCGCCA